rnacentral:rRNA from 1 species
UACGAAGGGGGCUAGCGUUGCUCGGAAUCACUGGGCGUAAAGGGCUCGUAGGCGGCCAACUAAGUCGGAUGUGAAAUCCCCAAGCUUAACUUGGGAACUGCAUCCGAUACUGGAUGGCUUGAAUCCGGGAGAGGGAUGCAGAAUUCCAGGUGUAGCGGUGAAAUGCGUAGAUAUCGUUUGGAACGCCAAAGGUGAAAACAGGUUGCUGGGAGUGUGCUGACGCUGAGACACGAAAGCCAGGGGAGCGAACGGG